rnacentral:rRNA from 1 species
GGGGAAUCUUGCACAAUGGGGGCAACCCUGAUGCAGCGACGCCGCGUGAGCGAUGAAGCCCUUCGGGGCGUAAAGCUCUUUCGACCGGAACGAUAAUGACGGUACCGGGAGAAGAAGCUGCGGCUAACUACGUGCCAGCAGCCGCGGUAAUACGUAGGCAGCAAGCGUUGUUCGGAGUUACUGGGCGUAAAGAGUGCGUAGGCGGUUUUCUAAGUUCGGUGUGAAAUCUCCCGGCUUAACUGGGAGGGUGCGCCGAAGACUGGGAAGCUGGAGUGUGCGAAAGGCAGGCGGAAUUCCUGGUGUAGCGGUGAAAUGCGUAGAUAUCAGGAGGAACACCGGCUGUGUAGACGGCUUGCUAGACCAUAACUGACGCUGAGGCACGAAAGCGUGGGUAGCAAACA